GCCUUGCACUGGUCUUACAUACCACAAAUUCAGAGGCAUCUACAAGAAUUUCAGAGUGCCUGGAAUAGUCACAGUCUUAGAUCUGCUGGCAACAGAACUCCGCUGCAGCUUUGGUCAAAUCAUGAGAAGGAAGGCUCAAAUCAGAUUGACAUUGAUGAUGAAGUCAGGGAAGAUAUUCAAGGGCAACAAGCAGAAGGUGUUCAUGUUCCUGAGUUGGAUCUGCCUCGAGGCUUGACCGAAGAAGAGCUGGCAACACAGCCAAACCCGGAUGUACCUUUCUCAGAUGCAUUAUCUGUCUACAUGGAAACCGUUCUUGCUGUAAAACAAAUGAUUGGUGAAUCAUAGUCUUCUCUUUGCGAAGUCUUGUAUGUUAUUCCACUGCAUUUCUGAGCGUUUCUUUAGUUGUCGUUGUUCCUGGUUCUUGAUCUCUGCCCGUGUCCUGGUUUUCCUGUUUCUGCCUCCCCCUCUGGAUUUGUCUGUUUGUUGGAUUGCCUGCCUGUGUAUGACCUUUGCCUGGAUUUUGAUUACGAUUCUGAAUAACACUUUAAAUAAACUGCAUUUGGAUCCUCAAA